GACGAACCGUCCAAACGUUGUUCGGAAUCACUGGGCUUAAAGGGCGCGUAGGCGGCCUUGAAAGUCGGGGGUGAAAUCCCACGGCCUAACCGUGGAAGUGCCUCCGAUACUGCAGGGCUCGAGGGAGGUAGGGGCAGCUGGAACUUCCGGUGGAGCGGUGAAAUGCGUUGAUAUCGGAAGGAACGCCGGUGGCGAAAGCGAGCUGCUGGACCCUCACUGACGCUGAGGCGCGAAAGCCAGGGGAGCGAACGGG
rnacentral:rRNA from 1 species